rnacentral:tRNA from 1 species
GGCCCCGUCGUCUAGUGGUUAAGACGCUGGAUUUUCAUUCCAGUAACGGGAGUUCGAUUCUCCCCGGGGCUA